AGGGAACUGAGGCAGCAGCCAAGCAGCACCAAGUUCCUGUGUAAGCAGUGGGAUGUACCCUAGAAACUGCCUGGAGCUGAGCCAAGGAACUGAAAGGGACUGAGCAAGCAAAGUGAAGAAAGAAUGAAGAAGGGAACUGAGGCAGCAGCCGAGCAACACCAAAUUCCUCUAGAGCCAGCUCGUCCAGGAGAUGGAGAUCAAGUGCUACAGAACAGAUGGCUCGUGGUGCUCCCAGAAGGAGCCUUUGUGCCUUCAGGGCAAGUUGUGGUGCCGCUGGAGCUGUUGGGAGAAGCAGAGGGUUGGCAGGGAGAGGCCUGGAAUGAUGUUGCUGUGGCACAGAUGUUGCUCCCUGGCAGGUUCUGGGGUUGGAUUCCUUGGCUGCCACUUGGCAAGGCCUGGAAGGGCCUCAGUUGUGUAGGGAACCAAACCUGGAAUGGGAAAGCAAAGGGGGGGAGGUUCUGGUUUCAGAAAGGAUCAUUGCCUUCUCUUU